rnacentral:lncRNA from 1 species
UCAAAUUCAAAAAUCAUCUUCUUAACAACAUUUUCUCUUUAUUUUCUUAAUCAAAUCCUCAAUCAAUCUUAAUUCAACUUCAACCAUUUUUAAACUUUAAAAUCAAUCAACCUCACUUGUUUUCUUUAUCUCAUGCCUUGAGGCCUCUUUCUUUUCUUAAAACCAUUUUCAAAAAUCUUAAAAUCAACCUAACCCACCAAAG